ensembl:snoRNA SNORA70 Small nucleolar RNA SNORA70
CUGCCGCCAAUUAAGCCAACUUGCUCUCUGCUCCAUGGGACCCUGUACAAUGGCUGCAAACAGCAAUCGACGUCUCUGGCGGUGUAGCAGCCUGUUCCUUGUCUGGGCUGUUCUCAGGGACCUUGGGGACAGUC